UCCGUAGGUGAACCUGCGGAAGGAUCAUUAAAGAUUCGACCUUUUGGUCUAUCUCUCUUCAGCUGUGCGCUUAGGCUGCACGCUGUUGAACCUUUCACACCUGUGCACCAUUCGGUUGCGGUUUCAGCCGCUUCCGCUUUUACACAUACCACCACAGUCCAGAAUGUAAACACAAUAACAAAUAACAACUUUCAACAACGGAUCUCUUGGUUCUGCAUCAUGAAGAACAGCAGCGAAAUGCGAUAAGUAUGUGAAUUGCAGAAUUCAGUGAAUCAUCGAAUCUUUGAACGCACAUUGCGCCCUUUGGUAUUCCUUAGGGCAUGCCUGUUCGAGCGUCAUCUACACCCUCAAGCACUGCUUGGCGUUGGGUGCCUGUCCCGCCCCGCGCGUGGACUCACCUCAAAUCCAUUGGCGGCGGUACAUUGGCUUCGAGCGCAGCAGAAACGCGAACUCGAGCCCGUUGUAUUGGCUCCAGAAGCUAUCUUCAUAAUUUUGACCUCGGAUCAGGUAGGGAUACCCGCUGAACUUAAGCAUAUCAAU
rnacentral:rRNA from 1 species